GACGAACGCUGGCGGCGUGCUUAACACAUGCAAGUCGAACGGAAAGGCCCUGCUUUUGUGGGGUGCUCGAGUGGCGAACGGGUGAGUAACACGUGAGUAACCUGCCCUUGACUUUGGGAUAACUUCAGGAAACUGGGGCUAAUACCGGAUAGGAGCUCCUGCUGCAUGGUGGGGGUUGGAAAGUUUCGGCGGUUGGGGAUGGACUCGCGGCUUAUCAGCUUGUUGGUGGGGUAGUGGCUUACCAAGGCUUUGACGGGUAGCCGGCCUGAGAGGGUGACCGGGCACAUUGGUACUGAGAGACGGACCAGACGGCAACGGGAGGCAGCAGUGGGGAGUAUGGCACAAUGGGCGGAAGCCUGAGGCGGCAAUGCUGCGUGCGGGAUGCCGGCCUUCGGGUGGUAAACCGCUUUCGCCUGAGACGAAGCGUGAGUGACGGUAAUGGGUAAAGAAGCACCGGCUAACUACGUG
rnacentral:rRNA from 1 species